rnacentral:rRNA from 1 species
UACGGAGGGGGCGAGUGUUGUUCGGAAUCACUGGGCGUAAAGCGCACGUAGGCGGAUUUGCCAGUCAGGGGUGAAAUCCCGGGGCUCAACCUCGGAACUGCCUUUGAUACAGCAAGUCUUGAGUUCGAGAGAGGUGGGUGGAAUUCCUAGUGUAGAGGUGAAAUUCGUAGAUAUUAGGAAGAACACCGGUGGCGAAGGCGGCCCACUGGCUCGACACUGACGCUGAGGUGCGAAAGCGUGGGGAGCAAACAGG